rnacentral:rRNA from 1 species
GACAGAGGGUGCAAACGUUGUUCGGAAUUACUGGGCGUAAAGCGCGUGUAGGCGGCUUGGCAAGUCGGGUGUGAAAGCCCCGGGCUCAACCUGGGAAGUGCACUCGAAACUGCUUCGCUGGAGUGCCGGAGAGGGAAGCGGAAUUCUCGGUGUAGAGGUGAAAUUCGUAGAUAUCGAGAGGAACACCGGUGGCGAAGGCGGCUUCCUGGACGGUAACUGACGCUGAGACGCGAAAGCGUGGGGAGCAAACAGG